GACGAACGCUGGCGGCGUGCUUAACACAUGCAAGUGGAGCGACGAACCGGGGCUUGCCCCGGGGCAAAGCCGCGAACGGGUGAGUAACACGUGGGUAACCUACCUUGAUGACCGGGACAACCCGAGGAAACUCGGGCUAAUACCGGAUGUGCUCUUUUGUCGUAAGGCGAAUGAGGAAAGAUAGCUUCGGGCCUUCGCAUCGAGACGGGCCCGCGGCCCAUUAGCUUGUUGGUGGGGUAACGGCCUACCAAGGCNGCGAUGGGUAGCUGGUCUGAGAGGACGAUCAGCCACACUGGGACUGAGACACGGCCCAGACUCCUACGGGAGGCAGCAGUGGGGAAUCUUGGCACAAUGCGCGAAAGCGUGAUGCAGC
rnacentral:rRNA from 1 species